CAUGCUGGAGGGGACACAGAGAAGAGAGAAUGCAGAUCCGGGCGGUUUCCUUGAAGCUCCCAUUACCAGCCCUGGAAAAGUUGUGCAGGAAUAAGUAAGGACAGCAAGGACCCGAACUGGCCUUGAUGUGAGUGGCCGAGGUGAGUGGCAGAGCAGUCCCGUGUACCCCAGUCUUCUAGCACCAGCUCUAGCUUCUGCCAACACACCGUACUGCCUUCUCUUUCUCCAGGUAUAAAGAAACACCUAGAAGACCUGCAAACGCCAAGGCUUCCCACAGCUACAAAGAAAAGUCCAAGCAAAUCUUGCUUCUGAACUGAGAUGGAUGGAAAAGCCCCAAGGAAGCCUAGAGAACAAAAGGU
rnacentral:lncRNA from 1 species